AAGUGACUAAUCUCGUUGGUUGAGGCAAUAUUGGUCAAAUUAACUGUGACAUUGGUAACUAUUAAACAAACAAAUUGGUUAUCUAACAACUAAUAUCAUUGGUUAAGAACAAAUUGGUUGAUUUAACAAAGAUAUUGGUUAACUUUAAUAACAGAUUGGUUGAAAAAUGACUAAUAUCAUUGGUUAAGCAAAUGUUAACUAAGAGAUUGGUAACUGACGCAGGUCUGACGCUCAACGUCAAGUACGUAACUCUGCUUCUCAAUUUUCUGACAAAGCCGCCAUCUUGGUGCUGCAGGAAAGCCGUUUGAGAUAUUGGUGGAAUUCAAACACUUUGUGAGAUGACAGAAUAUUGCUGAAGGAUCCUACAUGGAAGCUGGCUGAUUACACGGAGUGAUUCCUCUGGUGUGGUGUACCUCAGAGAAAUAAACACUGUUGCAAGAGGUGAGAAGAUAUCCUUAUUGCUGGAUGGUUGCUCUCUGGUCGUACUUGAGCCCCCUGGACCAUGUCUGCAAAUGCUUCUGAACAUUGACAGAAUUUCUAAAGGAUCGCUGAGGACUCCCCCUCCAUGCGUGACAUCUUUGAGAAAUUUCCACGCUUUCUGGAGAUGCCAAGUUUGACUGGAACCAACUUUGCAUCCCUCGGCACUGACACUGAGAAGGUUUCAAGGACCCCACUACUAGGAGGCGAGAGUUUGACACGGCAUUGUCAUCACUGCCAUGGAUGACAACGUAACCAUUCCUGUUGCUGAUUGCCUGACUUGCGCAGUGACAAGCUUUUCAUGUUCUACUGGGUGUGUAACUUGGCAUAUCCACCACAGUUUAACUCUGUUUUUGCCUCUUUUGAAUAUGUGUACGAUAUAACCAUCUCAACCAACACGUGGGCCAAGGUACUGGAACAUUUCUCACUUCAAGUUGCUCUGUAGUCACUGGACAUUUUUUUAAACAUCUACGCAGUCACCACCAUUCCUCACCAUGUGCAUUUUAAUUACUUCUGAUUCCACUGACAUGCAGACUACAUCCUAUGCAAUUUCAGGUAAUUUACCUGGUACUGGAGAAACAGCAUUGUAUGCCAUUCUAAGUGAUACUUGCCUCGUUGUUUUGCAAAAAUCUACUGUUCUUUGAAUAUAACUUAAAGUAAGAUCAUGUUGACUCUGAGGUUUUCUCCGGUUGUCAAGCACAACCUUAACGUUUUGUAAGUAAGUAAUAGUCACAGGAUAUGCAUGCAUUUGUAAUUUGAGCACAAUCUUAAUGUUUUGUAAGUAAGUAAUAGUCACAGGAUAUGCAUGCAUUUGUAAUUUGAAUUUUCGUUGAAAACGGCUCACCAAGCAUAAAAUGUUACCUCUGCUUUUGAUUUUCCUUUUUUUUUAAAAUGUCCCUUAAUACCAGCCUGUCUUUUUGUUGUGUCCACACAACUUUACCAUCAUCAGUGUUGGGAAGGAACAGAUUGCUGUAAGUUACUGUAUCCCCAUCAUUUCAGAUCAGUGCUUUAAAGCCUUUUGAAAUUAAAUUGUUAAUAAACUUUGUGAAAACAAACUCAAAUCUUGGUUAUUGGUUAUGAUUGAUAUAGCUUUGAAACUGUUAAUUUGAAGUGAAGUAAUUGCAGUGUCCAUCUAACCAAGCAAAUCGGUUAAAAUUUUAACCAAUAUCUGUGUCGGACACAUAUUAAUCGAACAAAUUGGUCAAAACAACCAUUGGGGGAUUGGUACAUUUUUGACUUAUAAAGAUUGGUUAAACAUAACCAAUCUAUUGGUCAA